CAUGAAGUCGGAAUUGCUAGUAAUGGCAGGUCAGCAUACUGCCGUGAAUACGUUCCCGGGCCUUGUACACACCGCCCGUCACACCAUGAGAGUUGGGAAUACCCGAAGCCUGUGAGCUAACAGUAAUGAAGCAGCAGUCGAAGGUAGAAUCAAUGAUUGGGGUGAAGUCGUAACAAGGUAUC
rnacentral:rRNA from 1 species